GGUCUUAUGGUCUAGUGGUGUAAGUAGCAUCAUCCUGUGACUUCAGAAUCAACUUACUAACGUAAUAAAUAGAUGAUUCUCGCUUAGGGUUUACUCUGAGUACAAAAUUUGCGAGAGGCCCCGCGUUCGAAUCGCGGUAAGACCC
rnacentral:tRNA from 1 species